AGAGUUUGAUCAUGGCUCAGAUUGAACGCUGGCGGCAGGCUUAACACAGGCAAGUCGAGCGGUAACAGGGGGAGCUUGCUUCCCGCUGACGAGCGGCGGACGGGUGAGUAAUGCUUAGGAAUCUGCCCAGUAGUGGGGGAUAGCCCGGGGAAACCCGGAUUAAUACCGCAUACGUCCUACGGGAGAAAGCAGGGGAUCUUCGGACCUUGCGCUAUUGGAUGAGCCUAAGUCGGAUUAGCUAGUUGGUGGGGUAAAGGCCUACCAAGGCGACGAUCCGUAGCUGGUCUGAGAGGAUGAUCAGCCACAUCGGGACUGAGACACGGCCCGAACUCCUACGGGAGGCAGCAGUGGGGAAUAUUGGACAAUGGGGGCAACCCUGAUCCAGCCAUUCCGCGUGUGUGAAGAAGGCUUUCGGGUUGUAAAGCACUUUCAGUAGGGAGGAAAACCUUAUGGCUAAUACCCAUGAGGCUUGACGUUACCUACAGAAGAAGCACCGGCUAACUCCGUGCCAGCAGCCGCGGUAAUACGGAGGGUGCAAGCGUUAAUCGGAAUUACUGGGCGUAAAGCGCGCGUAGGUGGUUUGGUAAGCGAGAUGUGAAAGCCCCGGGCUUAACCUGGGAACGGCAUUUCGAACUGUCAGACUAGAGUGUGGUAGAGGGUAGUGGAAUUUCCUGUGUAGCGGUGAAAUGCGUAGAUAUAGGAAGGAACACCAGUGGCGAAGGCGGCUACCUGGACCAACACUGACACUGAGG
rnacentral:rRNA from 1 species